rnacentral:rRNA from 1 species
AGUGAACGCUGGCGGUAGGCCUAACACAUGCAAGUCGAACGGCAGCACAGUAAGAGCUUGCUCUUACGGGUGGCGAGUGGCGGACGGGUGAGGAAUACAUCGGAAUCUACUUUUUCGUGGGGGAUAACGUAGGGAAACUUACGCUAAUACCGCAUACGACCUACGGGUGAAAGCAGGGGAUCUUCGGACCUUGCGCGAUUGAAUGAGCCGAUGUCGGAUUAGCUAGUUGGCGGGGUAAAGGCCCACCAAGCCGACGAUCCGUAGCGGGUCUGAGAGGAUGAUCAGGGCAACUGGAACGGAGACACGGGCCAGACUCCUAAGGGAGGCAGCAGUGGGGAAAAUUGGACGAUGGGCGAAAGACUGAUCCAGCCAUACCGCGUGGGUGAAGAAGGCCUUCGGGUUGUAAAGCCCUUUUGUUGGGAAAGAAAAGCAGCAGGUUAGUACCAAGCUGUUAUGACGGUACCAAAAGAAUAAGCACCGGCUAACUUCGUG